CUCGUGCAAGCUGCUUCAUUUAUUUGAAAUUGGCCUGAAGAAAGAUCUAGGAAGAUGUUGUUUUCAUGAUAACGGAGACUGAAGUACAAGAACCAUGG